ensembl:lincRNA
UUAUAGUUUUAUUAGUAUAGUGUCCCAUGUCAUGUCACUAAAUACAGUCAUCUAUUUUCAGUUCGUUCGUGGUAGCACCUUCAAAGAAAUUCCCAUGACUGUUUACACAACUAAAAUAAUAACCAAAGUUGUGGAACCAAAAAUUAAAGUGAUUCAAGGCAGUCUUCAGCCUAUUAUCAAAACUGAAGGGCCCACACUUACGAAGUUGCAAAUCGAAGGUGAACCUGAAUUCAAACUGAUUAAAGAAGGUGAACCAAGAACAGAAAUUAUCCACGGAGAACCAAUUAUAAAAACAUACACCAAAAUCAUUGAUGGAGUGCCUGUGGAAAUAACUGAAAAACAAACACGGGAAGAACGAAUCAUUACAGGUCCCGAAAUAAAAUAUACUAGGGUUUCUGCUGGAGGUGGAGAAACAGAAGAAACUCUGAAAAAAUUGCUGCAAAAAGAGGUCAGCAAGGUCACCAAAUUCAUUGAAGGUGGCGAUGAUCAUUUAUUUGAAGAUGAAGACAUUAAACGCCUGCUUCAGGGAGACACACCUGUGAAAAAGAUACAAGCGAAAAAAAGGGUUCAAGGAUCUAGAAGGCGAUCAAGGGAAGGUCGUUCUCAGUGAAAAUCAAAAAACCAGACAACAACCCUCAGUCCACAACCCGACCUGAAAAGAAAAUUAUGAAAGCCAACCAGACUUCACGAAAUGAAACUUCAGCACUAAGAAACAAACCUUCAAACAAUUCUGAACCUGAAUGUCAUAUCUGUUUUUCUAAUGAGAAGCAUGAAGACAAUGGUGGGAUUAGCCUCCUGUGGAAUAGGAACUGAAGGAUACAUAACAUCUUACAGGCUUUUGUUUCUUGAUAUUAAAAAUUCCAACUAAAUUUGGAAUCCAAGAAAGAAAAUUCUGGUCGCAUAGUUCAUUACAAUUUAAAUCUAAGUAUCUUGUUGAGGCAACUGCAUAGCGAAUGUACAAAUGUACAUAAUAAAUAGACCAAAAGCGUGCAAACAGUUACCUCUCCAUAGGAAGCUAAAUUAUAAAAAUGGGGAUUUAGUAUAUAAGUGACAAAAUAAUUUCACAUCCAAAGUCCUUACACGUAUCUAAUACAAUGUGAGUUUACCAGUAAAUUAUGUUAUUUUUACAACUAAUUUUGUACUCAAAAUGUUUGUAUAUGUUUUUUGCUAUACAUACUUUCUUACUGAAACAUUGCAAUAAAAACCAUUUUGCAGGUAUUAAGAGAAUUACUUCAGAUUGUUUAAUUCAAUUAACUCAAGGUUUAAAUUAAAAAUCCCUUUGGAUCUGGGAAUAGGACUUUAUACCUCUUUUAUAAACAAGUAUUCAAUAAAUGAAAUUGUAUGACACUAUUAUUUCUUGAUUUUUUCCAACUACUAUUUUGAAACAUUAGACAAUAAAAGAGUCAUUGAACAUCAACAGAGCACCUAUGAUUGUGCUAAAUUUUAGGAUUCAAAAGAUCACUCAGACAGACACGGUCUCCAAAAGGCAAAGAGAUAACCAGAGAUUCAAAGUACACACUGGCUGUAACAGAAAAUAUAACAUUACACAAGCCUAAAAGCAUCAGUUAAUUAAUCUUCGGCUAGACAUAGCAGAAGUCACAAAGAUAUCUGUAAGAUAACAAAAUUCCAUAUGUAGCAAAAAAAAAGAUGAAAAUAUAUUUAUUUCUGAGACUGAUAAAAAGAUAGGCUGGAUGUACUCAUAUGCCACUGAGUUUCCUUAGCUUGAACUGUUUAAAAUAAGAAUGCUCAAAGAAUAAAAUUCAUACUGACAAUAAACUGAGUGAUGACAGUGUAACAAAAUUAACCAUGUUGUGGAGAGCAGGCAUUGGGAAACUGUAGAACUAAAUCAAAUCAAAAGAAGAUACCUGACUUGAUCUAGAUGCUCAGCAUGGAUCUUAGACAUUGGAUCCAGCGCUAAAGUAUCCCUGAAGGACCUAGGAAGCUUCUUUGGUGUAGAUUCUUG